CAAGUUCGAACGGCAGCACAGCAGUAGCAAUACGUGUGGGUGGCGAGUGGCGGACGGGUGAGUAAUGCAUCGGGACCUACCUAGACGUGGGGGAUAACGUAGGGAAACUUACGCUAAUACCGCAUACGUCCUACGGGAGAAAGCAGGGGACCUUCGGGCCUUGCGCGGUUAGACGGACCGAUGUUCGAUUAGCUUGUUGGUGAGGUAAUGGCUCACCAAGGCGACGAUCGAUAGCUGGUCUGAGAGGAUGAUCAGCCACACUGGAACUGAGACACGGUCCAGACUCCUACGGGAGGCAGCAGUGGGGAAUAUUGGACAAUGGGCGCAAGCCUGAUCCAGCAAUGCCGCGUGUGUGAAGAAGGCCUUCGGGUUGUAAAGCACUUUUAUCAGGAGCGAAAUACUACCGGCUAAUACCCGGUGGGGCUGACGGUACCUGAGGAAUAAGCACCGGCUAACUUCGUGCCAGCAGCCGCGGUAAUACGAAGGGUGCAAGCGUUAAUCGGAAUUACUGGGCGUAAAGCGUGCGUAGGCGGUUUGUUAAGUCUGCUGUGAAAUCCCCGGGCUCAACCUGGGAAUGGCAGUGGAUACUGGCAAGCUAGAGUGUGUCAGAGGAUGGUGGAAUUCCCGGUGUAGCGGUGAAAUGCGUAGAGAUCGGGAGGAACAUCAGUGGCGAAGGCGGCCAUCUGGGACAACACUGACGCUGAGGCACGAAAGCGUGGGGAGCAAACAGG
rnacentral:rRNA from 1 species